UACAGAGGGGGCAAGCGUUAUUCGGAAUUAUUGGGCGUAAAGGGCGCGUAGGCGGCUUUUCAAGUGACGGGUGAAAUCCCUCGGCUUAACCGAGGAACUGCCUGUCAGACUGGAAGGCUUGAGACCGGGAGAGGUGAGUGGAAUUCCCAGUGUAGCGGUGAAAUGCGUAGAUAUUCGCAAGAACACCAGUGGCGAAGGCGGCUCACUGGCCCGGUACUGACGCUGAGGUGCGAAAGCGUGGGGAGCAAACAGG
rnacentral:rRNA from 1 species